ACACCAAAGCCCAACAAAGAGAAGAACAUGAAAGGAAGGACGAGGAGCCUAUAACAGAGAAGCCAUAUACGACAUCAAGUUUCUAAAACUCGUUGUACCUUUCACUGACGGAGCCUGAGAAGACCUCCGUUCUAAGGCACCCCAUAGACGGGCUGAGUCUACUAACCUCUGCCUCUCUUCCCAGAGGAGAAGCCAUGGAUCUAAACCGCCACCGACAAGCAAAGGAGCAGACAACAUAAUCCAUACGACACAACACCAGAUUUGGGAAGAGCAUCAUUCCUCGCCUUUUGUUGCUAUCAAGGUAAAGUCACAUGCGAAACAAAAUCGAUCCAACCACCAACCCCUAAAAGCCGACACCUUCCAGCAUCUCCACCUAACCAU
rnacentral:lncRNA from 1 species